rnacentral:rRNA from 1 species
GGUCUUUUGUUUUUAUAAAAGAUCUGGCCUGCCCUAUGAUUUAUUUUAAAUGGCUGCAGUAUUUUGACUGUACAAAGGUAGCAUAAUCAUUUGUCUUUUAAUUGAAGGCUGGUAUGAAUGGUUGGAUGAAAAAUAUACUUUCUUUAUUUUAUAUAAAAAAGUUAAUUUUUUAGUUAAAAAGCUAAAAUAUUGUUAUAGGACGAGAAGACCCUAUAGAACUUUAUUUUUGUUAUAUAUAAAUUUUGUUGAUUUUUAUAAAAUUAUAUAUGAUUAUUAAUUUUGUUGGGGUGACAGAAAAAAUGAUAUAACUUUUUCUAUUUUUUACAUUUAUUUAUGUUUAUUGAUCCUUUAUUAUGGAUAAUAAGAUUAAGUUACCUUAGGGAUAACAGCGUUAUUCUUUUUGAGAGUUCUUAUCGAUAAAAGAGUUUGCGACCUCGAUGUUGGAUUAAAAUAAGUGGCAGGAGUAGAAUAUUGCUUUACUAGGUCUGUUCGACCUUUAAAUUUUUACA